rnacentral:lncRNA from 1 species
GUGCCUUUGUGGGGCCUUAGGUGUAGGCCUUGAGGCUCACAAUCAAGGUUAACAUUUUGGUGCUCAGGCGUGCCACUGCCAUCUUCAUUAUGGCAGAUGUCGAAUAGAUGUCAAGUUUUAGUUGUGAAUAUGCAUAUGCCCGAGAAACCGUGUUAGAUAUAACAGGUGCCUUUGUGGGGCCUUAGGUAUAGGCCUUGAGGCUUUCUGUCAAACUAAACCAGUGCUUGAGCAUAUUAUAUUUGGUCUUUAUGGUUGUCGGGGUCUUAUAACUAUUAUAUUUCUGAUUAUCCGAGUCUGAGAGGUAGAGCGAACCCAAAUAGGUGCCUUUGUGGGGCCUUAGGUGUAGGCCUUGAGGCUUCCCAUUAGAGUCCGUUCUUAUACUCAAACCAUCUAGACUGCAGAAUAGAAUAAAUCCAAAUAAGUGCCUUUGUGGGGCCUUAAGUAUAGGCCUUGAGGCUUCCUAUUAGAAUCCAUUCUAUACUUAAGCGUUCUAUAAUAAUCAUGAUAUAAUAGAAAUAAAACCAAGAGGUAGGUCGAUUACUUGCGCCCCAAGUAACUUCGGACUUCUCGUUUAUCAAGGAUUGUCGUGGAUGGGUUAAGUCCACAUAAAGUUCUUUUUUAUGCCUUGAGGCCAAGGACUUUUAAACUAAUCAGAUUUACAUGCCUGAGGGCUUAGGACUUGGAUCUGAUUUAAACACUGAAGAUAUAUUCAAAUCGGAUCCAAGUACUGAGAACGCUUUGUCAUUGUGAUUUUACUAGAAACAACUUGCAUAUAACUGGAAAUAUACAACAUAUUGCUAGACUUUAAAGAAAGAGAAGACAAAGACAGAGCAAAGCAGGUCGGGCAAGAUUAAACCUUAUCAAUUAAGGCUGAUCGUCUUGCAGGUCCCUAUCUUUGUAGUUCUGUCAAAGGUCUGAAAGCUUAGAGGGGGAGAGGGGAAAUGAGAAUACAAAGGGUGAAUCGAUACUACAACUUGUUCGAACAGGUAGCAGAGCUAUUACAGGGGUUGGGAGAAAAGAUUAUCCCGCGGGGGAUGAAGGCUUGGGCUGACUACAGCUUCGUUUUGAAAGACAAAUAUGGCUUUUUGAGCAGAGUUUGUGCUUUUGUUUAUUUGAUUGAGUGUCUUUAUUCCUGUCUUCUCUUCCUCCUUUUAUAGACGACUCGGUUUGGCUCUUGUAGCGACAGCUUUGCCCGAAUGCGGUCUGAGGGUGAUGACUCAUCAGCUUUAUUACAUGUAAUGCCACCAUAAAGUACUUUAUGGGCUGUGCAGUCUGAUCAGUCUACACCACUUGGUCCUUGGGUAGGUAGGCAAGUGGCCCUUAUGAAUUGUAUCAAGUCAGAAAAGGCCAUUUCCUGCUUUCCCAAGUUUCGGUCGGGCCUUGAUCUUCUAUUCCUUCAGGCCUCCUUUUGGGCCGACUCCAUCCUUGGGCCAAAAAUCAAUUUUUAAUCCAAACAGUGCCCCCUUCAUUUGAUAUUAAACCUGGAAUUCCAGGCACCAAUAUUAAUUGAAAAUAAACUCCUUAUUACUCACACGAAACCCUCGCGAUUGAUCUUCUCAAUUUUCUAUGUUCCGUAGAAAGAAAUCCCUCUGUGAUAAAAAAAAAACUUUCCUGCUUCUCCCCACCAUUCUUCUCUGUUGCCCGACAAGGUUGCAUCCUUAUCAUCUCCCUUGUUUUCUUUCUCGACCUUCGUCAAAUGGCUUCAGGAUCCAGCCAAACCCCACCAUCUUACGAGUCCGGCGACGGAAUCGCCACCCUACGCCGUCUACUCAACGGGCUGCAUCGUCCGCGGGCAGGUUUACAUUCUGAACUAUUCUUUGAGAUGCAUGGAGUACAAUCAUUGGGCCCCGCCUGGAUUUCUCGGGUCCCCUCAGUGGUGGAAAGCAACAUGCCUAGGGAGAACUGGUUUACCCCAAAUCCCUAUUCGGCUAGUUCGGGCAUCUCCUCUUCGAAAUGGUCAUCAUAUCGUCGAGGCUUUCCCUUGAUGAAUGAUCCAACCUGGGCCUAGUGGGUUGACGAAUUAGAGCCUUCCUUCAAGCAAAAAUGGAUGAGUAACGAUAUUUAUGAACUGAUCAUGCUUUCGAAGACUUCCAUUAUCUCUAAGCCCGAAUUAGUUACUUAUGCCCUCCUCUUUUGGAAUACGGGCAUAAAUACUUUUGAUUUCCGUAUGGGCCCCAUGUCUCCCACCAUUCUUGACAUGGCCUAGGUCUUCGGUUUAAGGCCAUCAGGCAGGAUAGUGGACGUCACUCAAGACUGGGUUCCGUCCCCUACCACCGGGAGCUCGAGUUCAUCUAUCUCCUUCCUUCCUCUGAGUUAUAACUCCGCCACUUUCAAGAGUUAUGGGACCUCCUUCAAAGGAUUCAUUCCUUUUGUAAAGGCAAAUUUUGGGGCAGGCUCCCUUCGGGCUGACAAAGAUCAAGAGCAUAUGUAUUUUCUUUUAUACUGGCUCAACAAGCACAUCUUCCCCAACAAAUCUAAAGGAGUGAGGGUAGAAUGGAUCCCUUUGGUAGAGGUUCUUCACAAUUUUGAUGAUGUAGCCACAGGUCCAUUCCUUCUUUCUCAUCUCUAUCACCUUCUUUUUGAAAUGACUCGAGACGAGCCAUUCGAGACCAACUUGAAUGGACCUAUCUGGAUGAUACAAAUAUGGCUGUAAUGGUAUUUUCCAGAAUUUCGGGCUGCUAAUCUGGAGUUCCCAGAGGGUGUGGCUCCUGCCCGAAUCCUGGCUGAAGCUCCCCCUGUAGACCAUUCUACCUUCGCCUGCUUUUACUUUUUCAGAGUCUGCAGGACUCGAUCAGACUUGGAAUGGGGUGCGUCAGUCUUGAGGAGAUAUCUUUGGUUCUCUGACCAAGCCUUCCAAGAUGCCCCUGGUGAGGACGCUACCCCCUUUUGCAGGGAAAAAUUUAUCAGCUGCAUUCAACCGAGAGACUUGGCCUGGGGGGUUCGGGGCAAUAGAUAUGAUCGAGGCUUGGAAGUGUACCAUCCUAACUUCUGCAGCAGGCAGUUAGGAUUUAGGCAAGCCAUACCUGUCCCAUUCUUUGACUCUGUCCAUUGUGGCACCUCAUUCCGGUUACAAACUCCAUCUGAAGUGACAUUCCAAGCCGCCCGACGCAGCCUGGAUGUAAUGAGUCAAGCAGCCCGAAAUUCCGUUGUUCUUAAUUUUGAAUGUACCUCGCUGUUUUCCUCUUGGUGGGAGGACAAAUGGACUAAAAAGUAUGGAGGAGAUUUGAAGGUGAAUCACGAUCGCAUCUUCAGCCAGCUUUCUCUUAAAUCAUAUCCUGGCUCGGGCGAGCUUGCAAAUUGGAAGGAGAUGAUUCAGGAGAAAAACCGGUCACUUCUGAUAGGUACUUCUCUUUCAACUCGAUUUGGCUUCCCUUCUGAAGUCCUUCUAUCCUUACUUUUGCUGAAUUCUGCAGCUUCAGUGGAUGUUGAAUCGGAAGUCAUUGAAUCCGAAGAUGACUCUGCUGAUGCUGCAAUUCUUCAUGGUGCUGCCGCAGAGGCUGAGAGACGAGAAGCCAGGGAGGGGACGGACAUCUCAGAAUCCAUUGGGGAUUCAAGGGCUGAAGGAACACCCAAGGCAAUCACUAAAGCCCUCAAGCGAAAGAAAGUGGUCAUGGCUAAAGAUUCCGACCCUGAUUCUGCACCUCUUCUGACAACCACAAGACCAGUUCUUUCUUGAAAGAGUAAGCGGGCAAGGAUUACUAUUCCUCCUAAAUCAGGAGUCCCAUCCGCUCCAGUUCCUGAGGCAGGCAGAAAGAAGCAACAAUCUUCAAGUGAGUCUUUUUUUUUCUAUAUCAAACGGCUACCUUUCUCUUUUAUCUAAUUGUCUCUUUUAUCGAUUAACAGGACCUCAAGCAUCUAAAAGGCCAAUCCUUGCUUCUAAGGAGGAACCACUACGGGCUGCUAUGGUUAAAAAGGCCGAAGAAUUGCGAAACACCGCCCUUCGAGAACUCGAGGUAUAGCUGAUAUUAUUGUAUACCUUCUUACUUUCAUACAACCCUGAAUUUGAUUACUCUGAUCAGGCUGCGAGAAAUGAAAUUCUCUCUUCGCCCCGAGGCUUCUCCAUAACCUGCCCGAAAGAAAAAUCUUUCCCCCUCCCAGACUAAUCCUGCUGAGGUACUUUCUCUCAUUCCUUUCUACUUCUUGGCUAACUCUCCAAUUUAUUGAUCUAAUGGCUAAGGACUUUUCUUUCCUUUAUUUUGUUUUCCUAGGCUGGUGCAUCUGCCUCUUUGCCUAGUCAUGGACCCCCUCUGAGAUCUAUGACUUCUUCUACUGCUUUGGAUGCGACCCCUUCCUCUCAAUUUGAUCCGUCCACAGGAGUUAUAUUGCACUUCGUGGAUGAGGAUGAUCCCUUGGUAAAUUAUUAUUUCCUCAUUGAAAUUUUGCACAUUGCUACCCAAUUAACUCCUUUUUAUGUUUCCUGCAGCCAUCUUCAGUAUAUGAGCCACCUCCCUCACUAGUGGUCUCGGAUAAGGAACCCAUAGUUCCUGAGAUCCCUGUAGCUUCAGAUGCAGCAAUUUCGCAGGUGUUUGCUCGCCCGAUAAUUGAUGAACCUUCUUCUCCUCCCCAAGAUCAGACUCAAGUACUGGAAUAUUUUCUUUUUGCUUCUUCCUCUGGUGACCUUUUUGCUGACAAUUAUUGCUUUCUUUGGAUAUAUCCAGGAUGCAGGCACAGGUUCAGGCGCAGCUUUUUCCCCUCCUGCUGGCGGUGAAGAAUCUUCACCCCAACCAAGAAUUAGUACAUUCUCUGGUGAAACUCCGGGGCUGAGUCAGGUAAAUUUCUUCUCUCCAGAACCUCUUUUUGCUUCAACUUGUAUUCAGAUUACCCUGACCUAGUCUUUUGGUUUUUGUAGCAAGCUUCAAAAGAAACUUCCCCUCCUCCAUUGGCUCGUAAAUCAAAGCGCCCUCAUCCUCAUUCAUCUUCUGGAGGUAUUGAUACUUCCCCCUCUGGAGUUGAGCAGACUAAACAGGCAGAGGUUACCCCCUCAAUAGGCAUUGUCUCAUCGGAGGGAACUGUCACGCCGGACCCUCAUCCUUUCCCAUCCUCUGAUCCUGCCAAGUUGCCCAAACUCUUCGAAGCACUCGGGCGACUUGAGACGCGGUUGAAAUCUUCAACACAGCCCCCAGCAACCUCCAUGUCCUCGGAGCAACAGCGAAUCUUUCAGGAAUGGGCAAAGAAAGAAUUCACCGCGGCAUUUAGUCUCAAGGCUCUCUGUGAUCUUGAGAAAGUCAUAACUAAAUUUUUCAAAACCGGUCGUUUGUCCAAGCCUCAGCACGAUUCUUUUCUUUCUUUCUUCGAGAACCUGAGGGCUCUGAAGGAACAAUACCAGAGAGCGGAUAGACAGGCUAACCGGGCAAAAUGCUUUAUGGAAAAGGAAUCAAACUCUUCUACCCAAGUCAACCGACUGAUGGAAGAAAGCAUGCAGACUAAAGAAAGGGUUAAAGUGAUUUCUUCUGAAAUCCAAAAGCUAGAAGAGCAACUGGUUGCCCUUAAGGAAGAACAAGCCACUCUUCUGGACACCCUUGAACACCAAAUCGAAGGGGUAGAGAAAGCAACUUCGGAGUUAGAGCAAGCCAAGUCCCAACUUGUAAACCAUCAUACUGUCUUGGCCGAACCCAAUAGGAUUUUUACCAUCAUGCGAACAUAUCAUUCCAGAAUAAUCACUCUAUGUGAAGAUGUAAAGUUUUUAGAAUAGAAUGAUUUGUAACUCUUUUUUGUAUUAGAAUGAACAUGUAAUUUGCUUCUUGCUCUACCAUAUCUGAAUUGACUUUGGGCAACUCUUUGCCCCCUCUGUCUACGCACUUUUCUCCUCCAUCUUCCCUGUUGACAACCUUAUAAUCUGCCCCUGGUCCUCCGGUCUCCUCGUGGCACCUUUAUUCAGCCAAUACCCCUGGCUCCUUAAAAAUGAGGUUGAUCAUAUUGAUAGGAGCCUCCGGAAAAGGGUUAGUGUCCACCAUCAUACUGGCUUGGGGUGAGUCAAGCAAUAGUUUCCCCUUCACUAUAAGAUCUUGUACCCAAUCUCUAAACUGGACACAAUUAACUAUAUAAUGGUUGAAGGUAUAAUGCAACUUGCAAUACUUUUUCCCCCUGAGUUCUUUGGGCUUGGGCAUCUUUUUGGCACUGUCGGGUAAAAUUACUCUCGCCCGCACCAACUCUUCAUAGAUCUCCGGUGCCUUGGUUAAAUCAAACGAAUAGCUCUGAUACUUUGGGGGUUUCAUGGGGACGAAACCACCAUCAUUCAUCACGAUCUUCUGAUCCUUGACAGGUUGAACUAAUCCUUUGAUCGUCAAUGGUUUGAAGGGUGUGGUCAUCUCAGCAGCACAUACAUCUAUAUUUUCUUCCUCAUGACCAUCCUCGUGUUCGGGCCUGGUUUCUCCCACCUCCACAUGGUGAAUAGUAGCCUUGCUUUUGUAGAAAUGAGGGACUUUGGAAGUGUGCUUCACUUGAUGUUCCUCUUGCAACAACCUAUCGUACUUCGUGGCAGCAAUCACGAGUUCUUGCAGCUCAUUGAACUGUGCAUCAUAAAACUUUUUCCUCAAAGGUAAUUUUAAAGCCCUUUGAGCAAUGGAUAUGAGCUGUGCUUGAUUGACGGGGAAUUGGCAUUUCAUCUUGGUCCUCCUGAACCUCAUCAUGAAGUCUUCCGUGGAUUCAUGAUCGUAUUGUUUUACCUCCACUAGAUCAUUGAUGGUCAAUUCUGGCUCUAUUCUGUAGAACUGUUCAUGGAAAGCCAUCUCCAUUUGCCCCCAGUUGGCAAUAGAGUUGGGGGGUAAUAGAGAAUACCAUUGAGACGCCAAUCCUGCCAAUGAAUUUCCAAACAACCUCAAUUUGUAGUUUGGAUUGUCCUCAUACACCAUACAAUGAUUGGAGAAUUUGAAAAUAUGGUCUCUGGAAGACACACUGCUGUCUUCACCUGUGAAGGUAGGGAAUGCGGGCAUCUUGAAGUUGAGAGGGAAUGGAUUUAGCUCGUUGAUAUAUUCAGGAUACGGCUUCUGGUAAGUAAUCCUGAAUACUGGGUGAGCCCGCGGCUGGGCGUUUUGAGUCACCGUUCUUCUUAACUCAGCCAAUUCCUCCCUUAGUUGCUGAGUGGCUAAAUUAUCAUUAUGACCGAGGAUAGCUGAUCCAAUCUUCGGGCUCCGGUCAUUGCCCGCAUUCGCUUCUCUCCUUGGUUCGGGCUUCCUCCAGUUAGAUCAUCCACCUUUAUUGACCAUCGGGGGUGGCCUAUAGGGUGGAGGUUUAUCUGAAGUAGUAGUGGUAGCAGUAGUGGUAGUCUCAUUUCCACUAGUUUCUCCCAUCAUACCUGGCAUUCCGUACCUCGUCAUUUCUUGUUCGUUCUGCCCCUUAUUAUUAAAUGAUAAUAAUGGGAAACUGGGAAACUCUUUCUCCGGAAUCGGCUCCAUUACUGGUUGACUUCCUUCAGGAAUUACCUUUUUCUUUCCCCUGUCUCCUGCUUCUUCUAGUAGUGGGAAUAAGGGAAUGAUUGGCUCAUUUCUCGUGAUAACCUGGCUCAUUCCACUUCCUUGAGCACCCUUUGGAGUAGAGAACUCCAAAUCAAGCCUUCCUUGUAGAUUCCCUGUGAGCAUACAGAGUCUGCUUACUUCUCCCUUUGUUUCCAGGGAGAUCCUUUCCAUGCUCUUUAACACUUGGAUCAUCGUAGCUUAUAGCUCUUCAUUGCUUCCUUUUCCUUGUGAUCUUUCAGAUGCAGUCGGGCUAUCUGAAACCACCUGUCCAGAUGGGGAUGAAGGAUUUUCUGAUUGUUCUGCCAUUUGGAGAAGACCUUCAUUUGGAUUCUUUUUACCAAGUUUAUGGUUCUUCUUUUUGGACAUGCAAGAUCUGGAAGUCUAGAUCCCACCGGGCGUGCCAAAACUAUGUUCGCGGCAGAAAUUCCCGUCGGGGGUGUUUCCUGGCCGACGAGCACACAGCUCCCCUGGAGGUUCGGCGUCGGUUGAGGGCUGCUGUCGGGCUUCUGCUUUCCUGUCGGGCUUUGUCGGGCAAGUCUCGUCGGGCAAGACUCGUCGAGCAAAACUCUUCGGGCAAGGCUGAAAGAGAAGGACAUCGUUAACUUUGAGAGGUGCCUUUGUGGGGCCUUAGGUGUAGGCCUUGAAGCUCACAAUCAAGGUUAACAUUUUGGUGCUCAGGCGUGCCACUGUCAUCUUCAUUAUGGCAGAUGUCGAAUAGAUGUCAAGUUUUAGUUGUGAAUAUGCAUAUGCCCGAGAAACCGUGUUAGAUAUAACAGGUGCCUUUGGGGGGCCUUAGGUAUAGGCCUUGAGGCUUCCUGUCAAACUAAACCAGUGCUUGAGCAUAUUAUAUUUGGUCUUUAUGGUUGUCGGGGUCUUAUAACUAUUAUAUUUCUGAUUAUUAAUCCGAGUCUGAGAGGUAGAGAGCAAACCCAAAUAGGUGCCUUUGUGGGGCCUUAGGUGUAGGCCUUGAGGCUUCCCAUUAGAGUUUGUUCUUAUACUCAAACCAUCUAGACCGCAGAAUAGAAUAAAUCCAAAUAAGUGCCUUU